UACGUAGGGAGCAAGCGUUAUCCGGAUUUAUUGGGUGUAAAGGGUGCGUAGACGGAGAAGCAAGUUAGUUGUGAAAUCCCUCGGCUUAACUGAGGAACUGCAACUAAAACUACUUCCCUUGAGUACUGGAGAGGAAAGUGGAAUUCCUAGUGUAGCGGUGAAAUGCGUAGAUAUAUGGAGGAACACCGGUGGCGAAAGCGGCUCUCUGGCCUGUAACUGACACUGAGGCUCGAAAGCGUGGGGAGCAAACAGG
rnacentral:rRNA from 1 species